GCCUAGUUAGCUUGGUUGGUAGCGCGUCUGCCUUGUAAGCGCUAGACAGCGGGUUCGAUUCCCGCCCGAGGCG
rnacentral:tRNA from 1 species